ACGAACUCUGGUAUUGAUUGGUGCUUGCAUCAUGAUUUACAUUUGAGUGAGUGGCGAACUGGUGAGUAACACGUGGGAAACCUGCCCAGAAGCGGGGGAUAACACCUGGAAACAGAUGCUAAUACCGCAUAACAACUUGGACCGCAUGGUCCGAGNUUGAAAGAUGGCUUCGGCUAUCACUUUUGGAUGGUCCCGCGGCGUAUUAGCUAGAUGGUGGGGUAACGGCUCACCAUGGCAAUGAUACGUAGCCGACCUGAGAGGGUAAUCGGCCACAUUGGGACUGAGACACGGCCCAAACUCCUACGGGAGGCAGCAGUAGGGAAUCUUCCACAAUGGACGAAAGUCUGAUGGAGCAACGCCGCGUGAGUGAAGAAGGGUUUCGGCUCGUAAAACUCUGUUGUUAAAGAAGAACAUAUCUGAGAGUAACUGUUCAGGUAUUGACGGUAUUUAACCAGAAAGCCACGGCUAACUACGUGCCAGCAGCCGCGGUAAUACGUAGGUGGCAAGCGUUGUCCGGAUUUAUUGGGCGUAAAGCGAGCGCAGGCGGUUUUUUAAGUCUGAUGUGAAAGCCUUCGGCUCAACCGAAGAAGUGCAUCGGAAACUGGGAAACUUGAGUGCAGAAGAGGACAGUGGAACUCCAUGUGUAGCGGUGAAAUGCGUAGAUAUAUGGAAGAACACCAGUGGCGAAGGCGGCUGUCUGGUCUGUAACUGACGCUGAGGCUCGAAAGUAUGGGUAGCAAACAGGAUUAGAUACCCUGGUAGUCCAUACCGUAAACGAUGAAUGCUAAGUGUUGGAGGGUUUCCGCCCUUCAGUGCUGCAGCUAACGCAUUAAGCAUUCCGCCUGGGGAGUACGGCCGCAAGGCUGAAACUCAAAGGAAUUGACGGGGGCCCGCACAAGCGGUGGAGCAUGUGGUUUAAUUCGAAGCUACGCGAAGAACCUUACCAGGUCUUGACAUACUAUGCAAAUCUAAGAGAUUAGACGUUCCCUUCGGGGACAUGGAUACAGGUGGUGCAUGGUUGUCGUCAGCUCGUGUCGUGAGAUGUUGGGUUAAGUCCCGCAACGAGCGCAACCCUUAUUAUCAGUUGCCAGCAUUAAGUUGGGCACUCUGGUGAGACUGCCGGUGACAAACCGGAGGAAGGUGGGGAUGACGUCAAAUCAUCAUGCCCCUUAUGACCUGGGCUACACACGUGCUACAAUGGAUGGUACAACGAGUUGCGAACUCGCGAGAGUAAGCUAAUCUCUUAAAGCCAUUCUCAGUUCGGAUUGUAGGCUGCAACUCGCCUACAUGAAGUCGGAAUCGCUAGUAAUCGCGGAUCAGCAUGCCGCGGUGAAUACGUUCCCGGGCCUUGUACACACCGCCCGUCACACCAUGAGAGUUUGUAACACCCAAAGUCGGUGGGGUAACCUUUUAGGAACCAGCCGCCUAAGGUGGGACAGAUGAUUAGGGUGAAG
rnacentral:rRNA from 2 species